rnacentral:rRNA from 1 species
AUUGAACGCUGGCGGCAGGCCUAACACAUGCAAGUCGAGCGAGCGGCGGACGGGUGAGUAACGCAUGGGUACUGCCCGAUAGAGGGGGAUAACUACUGGAAACGGUGGCUAAUACCCCAUACUGUCGGCUAACACAAUUGGGAGUAGCUAGUAGGUAAGGUAAUGGCUUACCUAGGCUACGCUCCCUAGCUGGUCUGAUAGGAUGAGCAGCCACACUGGGACUGAGACACGGCCCAGACUCCUACGGAGGCAGCAGUGGGGAAUAUUGCACAAUGGGCUCAAGCCUGAUGCAGCCAUGCCGCGUGUAUGAAGAAGGCCCUAGGGGUGUAAAGUACUUUCAGUCGGGAGGCGUUACCGACAGAAGAAGCACCGGCUAACUCCGUGCCAGCAGCCGCGGUAAUAC